AAGUGAGACAGAGCCCAUCAGACAUGCAGAGAUUGUAAUAAUAAAGGGAAAACAAAAGAGACAAGAGAAGAUGUGGGUCGGAGAGAAAAACAGAAAAAGGACAGGAGUAGAAAAAGAAAGAGCUGGGUGGCACGGGGAGAAGAGCGAAUGAGUGAGCGAAUAGGAGACAGAGAGAGAGAGAGAGAGAGCGAGUGAGCGAGCGAGCGAGAGGGAGGGAAGCGAACAACACUGCAGACACUCGCCCACUGUCACUGCUCCACAGCCAGAGGACGGAGGCAGCCACGGCCACAGUGGAAGCAGAUACGAUGGAGGAGGAAGACCGCACCGUCCGUCUGCAGCUCUGUCCCCGUCACUGACAGCCUUCCUCUGGGACCCUCCUGCCAAGUUGGGAGAGAAACAGGAAAAAAAGGAGAAAAACUACUCUCUCUGUCCUUCAUGAGACCAAGUAGCGGACCUCAACUCCUGCAGGACUGAUAACGCACACACCUCAUUAUUUUUCCCUCUCCUACACUCACACACUCACACCCUCACUCUCUCAAACUGAAGCACAUUUCACUUCUUGUUGCCUUUUGGACCAGUUGUUCAUUUAUUCAUUUUUUCUACACGGCCUUCGCUGACCUUCUGAACUGAGUGGAUUUACUUUUAUCCUGUGGUGGACCAUGGGGCUAGGGUGGAGGGGUGCGUCAGGGACCCUCCGAAUAAGGACAGAGGGGAGCUGGCACCUUUUGGUGACAUUGCUGCUGUUCUGUGGUUUCUGGAAGGCUCGUGCACAGACAGAUGAUGGGAAGUCUCUCUACUUCUGGGAAACAGGUCCGUGGGGAAGAUGCAUGGGCAGCGACUGUGGCCCAGGUGGCAGCCAAAGCCGGGCAGUCUGGUGUGCCCAUGUGGAUGGCUGGACGACACUUCACACCAACUGUGACCAGGGCCAGCGUCCGUCCAACCAGAGGAACUGUUUUCGUGUGUGUGACUGGCACAAGGACCUUUAUGACUGGGAACUGGGUGCCUGGAAUCAAUGCGUGCCAGUUUCAGCGAGGACCUUUGGGGCUCCGCGGCCGUUCACAUGCAGUGGGGGCGAAGAGGGCAUUCAGACCCGGGAGGUGGGCUGCAUACUCAAGUCAGACGGGUCUCCAGCAGAGGAUGCCAUCUGUGAAUACUUUGAGCCCAAGCCUCGCCUGGAGCAGGCAUGUUUGAUCCCUUGUCCCCAGGACUGUGUAGUUUCCGAGUAUUCGCCAUGGACAUCCUGCUCCAAAACGUGUGGAACAGGCCUCAGGAACAGGGUCCGCAGUGUCCUGGUUCCUCCACUUUUUGGAGGCGCAGUUUGUCCCAAUCUCACAGAGUUCCAGUCUUGUAAACCGGGGCCUUGCAUGGGUCCAGAGGGCAUGUACAGUCUCAGGGUUGGACCUUGGAACCCGUGCACCCUCCCAGAGACUCGGACUACACGCCAAGUUAAACGCAGGAAGGGCAAAGGCCAGGGGCUCAGGGAGAGAGCAGGAGUCAAAGAUCCAGAGACCAGGGAGCUCAUUCAGAAGAAACGUACCAGGAAUCGCCUUAACAGGCAAGAGAGUCCAUUCUGGGACAUCCAGGUGGGCUACCAGACUCGGGAUGUGACCUGCAUACACAGGAAUGGGAGCGCUGUGGGACGCAGCCUGUGCACACCAAGGGACCUGCCGCUUACCAUCCAGUCCUGCGUCCUCCCCAAGGACUGCCAGGUGACUGACUGGGUCGCGUGGGGCCCCUGCUCCAAAACCUGCAUGGACCCGGAGUCUCCCAGAGGCAGUCGCACUCGCAGCAGACAGGUGCUCCAGUUUCCUGUGGGUGAGGGGGCGGAGUGCCUGCCGCUGGAGGAGUCAGAGGCCUGUGAACCUUCUGGCGAAGGCGUCCCGCCCUGCUCCACCUACACCUGGAGAACCACGGAGUGGAGCGACUGCCGGGUCGACUUGUUGCUAAGCCAACAGGAUCGUCGACGUAGCAACCUGACAGGGCUUUGUGGGGGCGGCCUGCAGACCAGGGAAGUUUACUGUGUCCAGGCAAACGCUGAGCUUCUAAAAUACCUCAACGGCCUCAGAGAAAAAGAGAAAGCGGGUCAGACCCAAAGACAGCAGAAGCCUAGUGUCCCCCCUCUCCUCUCCAUCACCUUCCAGAUUACAGCCUCCCGCCCGGUGGAAAACCAGCUGUGCCAGGGUCCAGUACCCAGCAGAUCCCAGCUCUGCCAAAUCCCCUGUCCCAUCGACUGUGAGGUGUCGCCGUGGGGCGCCUGGGGGCCGUGCACCUUCGAGAACUGUGACGACCAGGCUGGAAAGAAAGGUUUCAAGCUGAGAAAACGUCAGAUCACCAACGAGCCGACGGGAGGGCCUGGAAACUGCCCGCACCUGGUGGAGGCUGUGCCGUGUGACGAGCCCAGUUGUUACGACUGGCAACUGGUCAGCCUGGAUCCAUGCAUCCCUGAUGACGAGAAGCCGUGUGGCCCCGGCACUCAGCUCGCACAGGUCCAGUGCGUCAACAGCAACGGGGAGGAGGUGGACAGAAAUCUCUGCUCGUCCUCCCCUGCUCCGGAGCCUGUGCCCUGUGAGGUGCCUUGCUCGAGGGACUGCGUGCUCAGCGACUGGACGUCCUGGUCCACCUGCUCUCAGACCUGCUCCAGUAAGACCAUCGAGGGCAAGCAGAUGAGGACGCGCUCCAUCCUGGCCUACAACGCCGGGGAAGGCGGCGCCCUGUGCCCAAACAGCAGCGCCCUCCAGGAGGUUCGGAACUGUAACGAACACGCCUGUACAGUUUAUCACUGGCAGACGGGGCCUUGGGGCCCUUGUACUGAGGACCCCUCGGCCUCGCCCCUCAACACCUCCGCGGGUGCCCGUGCCAGCGGCGGCGGUCAGGGUCCCUGCUCCAUGGGAAUGCAGACUCGUAAGGUCAUCUGCGUCCGGGUCAACGUGGGACAGGUGCCCCCCAAGAAGUGUCCAGACGGCCCUCGUCCCAGCACGGUGCGACCGUGUCAGCUGCCCUGCAAGAAGGACUGCAUCAUGACCCCGUUCAGCGACUGGACCCCGUGUCCUGUUGCUUGUGAUGCAGCUGGUAAUGCCAUGAAGAGAAAGCAAUCAAGGAAACGUCUCAUCAUCCAGCUGCCGUCCAACGGAGGACAGGACUGUCCAGAGGUGCUGGAGGAGGAGAGGGACUGUGAGGUCCCCAAAAUCUGUCCUGGAUUCAGGUGGAAAACCCACAAAUGGAGGAAGUGCCAGCUGGUCCCGUGGUUUAUCAGACAGAACAGCGCAGGUGCGCAGGAGACCUGUGGACCAGGACUUCAAACAAGAGCUGUGUCCUGCCGCCAGCUGGACGGGACGCAGACCGACAUUAGCGAGUGUCUGAAAUUCGCCAAGGCCAUGCCUGCCAUCACUCAGCGAUGUCAGCUCCCCUGCCAGGAUGACUGCCAGCUGACCAACUGGUCCAAGUUCUCGUCCUGCACAGCUGACUGUGUGGGGGUCCGCACCAGGAAGAGGGCCUUGAUAGGGAGGAGCAAGAAGAAAGACAAGUGCAAGAACACGCAAAUGUACCCUUUGAGUGAGACCCAGUACUGCCCCUGUGACAAGUACAACGCCCAGCCGGUGGGGAACUGGUCAGACUGCAUCCUGCCCGAGGGAGGCCGAGUGGAGAGCGUCCUGGGCAUGAAGCCUCAGGGAGACAUCAAGGAGUGUGGACAGGGCUACCGCUACCAGGCCAUGGUGUGCUACGACCAGGACAACAGGCUGGUGGAGACUUCACGCUGCAACAGCCACGGUUAUAUUGAGGAGGCGUGCAUCAUCCCCUGUCCCUCGGACUGUAAACUCAGCGAAUGGUCCAACUGGUCACGCUGCAGCAAGUCCUGCGGCAGCGGAGUCAAAGUUCGCUCCAAGUGGCUCCGAGAGAAACCUUACAACGGCGGCCGGCCGUGCCCCAAACUGGACCACAUCAACCAGGCUCAGGUGUACGAGGUGGUUCCGUGUCAGAGCGACUGUAAUCAGUAUGUGUGGGUGGCCGAGCCGUGGAGCGUGUGGAAAGUCAGCAACGUGGACCUGAAGGAGAACUGUGGCGAAGGUGUCCAGACCAGGAAAGUCAGGUGCAUGCUGAACACUGUAGACGGGCCGUCCGAGUCUGUGGAGGACUACCUGUGUGACCCGGAGGAGAUGCCCCUGGGGGCCAGGGAGAGCCGGCUGCCCUGCCCCGAGGACUGCGUGCUCAACGACUGGGGCCCCUGGAGCCGCUGCAGCCUGCCGUGUACCAGAACCAACAGUCGAGUGCGGGCGGCGUACACCCUUCGGUCUCCCAGCGUCGGGAGGCAAUGUCCAGACACGACCGACAAAGAGCCCUGCAGCCUGAACCUCAACUGCUUCAACUACUUCUACAACAUCACAGACUGGAGUACGUGUCAGCUGAGUCCGAACGCUGUGUGCGGGAGUGGCAUCAAGACCCGGAUGCUCGACUGUGUUCGCAGUGACGGCAAAUCAGUCGAUAUGAAAUUCUGCGAGGAGUUGAAUUUGGAGAAGAAGUGGCAGAUGAACAUCUCCUGUGUGGUCGAGUGUCCCGUCAACUGUCAGCUGUCGGAGUGGUCCGUCUGGUCCGAGUGUUCACAGACGUGUGGACUGGAAGGUAAGAUGUGGCGGCAGCGUUCGGUGGUUCAGGCGUCUCAGGGCGACGGCCGGCCGUGCCCGUCUCAGAUGGAGCAGUGGAAGCCCUGUCCUGUCCGGCCCUGCUACCGGUGGCAGUACAGCCCCUGGUCCGAGUGCCGGGUUGAGAGUGUGGUGUGUGGACACGGCAUGCGCUACAGGAACCUGUCCUGCUUCGUGUCGGACGGCUCCAGCGACGGCGAAGGCAGCCCGGUGGACGAGGAGCUGUGCAGCAGCCUGGAGCUGGCAGUCGACGGAGACAACCAGAUCAGACUCAAGGAGGCCUGUACGCUUCCCUGCCCAGGUGAAUGCUACCUGAUGGAGUGGUCAGACUGGAGCUCGUGUGUGAGCAUCUGUGUGAAGGGGGCCGGCGUGGACUUCGGUUCGGUUCAGGUCCGCUCACGAGCCGUGUUGGCCCAGGAACCCGAAAACCUGCAGCUGUGUCCUGACCAGGCUUGGGAGUCUCAGCCCUGCACAGGGGGCGAAUGUUACGAGUACAAAUGGUUCAGCAGCGUAAACUCCACCCGCCCUUUGACUUGGUGUCAGCGCUCAGAUGGACUCAAUGUCACGGGAGGCUGUCCUGCCAUGAGUCCUCCGGUGGACAACAGCUCCUGUGACCCCCCCUGUCUCAUGCCAAAGUCUUUCUGCAGUGAGGCUGGCAUCUGCACGUGCGAGGAGGGAUUCACGGAGGUGCUGUCGCCCGCCGGGCAGCUGGAGCAGUGCGCCCCCAUCCCGAUCCUGGAGAUCCCCUCAGCGGGGGACAAGAAAGGUGACGUAAAGACCAGUCGUGCCAUCAACCCCACCCUGCCCACCACCAUCCUGCCCGGACGCAAUGGGCGGACCUGGUACCUGCAGCCCUACGGACCAGAUGGGAAGCUGAAGAUGUGGGUGUAUGGUGUAGCAGCCGGAGCCUUCGUGCUCCUCAUAUUCAUAGUGUCUAUGAUAUACCUAGCUUGCAGCUACUGUGCCAAGGUGCAUCGCUCUCUUAAGGCCCAAGAGUCCGACGCCAAUGGGACGGCGGUCUGGAUGGGCCAAAAUGCACAUGAGAUGAUUUACACCUGUCCCGAUUGCCAAGAGCUGGCUCAAAGCAGCAGCAGCUAAUGAGGAUGUGGAGGGUUCAGCCCCGACUCCCCGACCCCCCACACACACCCCCAGUUUAAGUACAUGCAGUCCUUGAUCUGAUCCCCCGUGACCUCUCAAAGUGUCACAUGUCCUGCCUGACAAUCUGAGUGAAGGUGCUGGCGCAGCAAAAAGCCAAAGAGACCUCAGAGACAGAGGCAACAGAACAACCGACUAAAACCUCUGACUCUCGCCUACGACGGGGACACGGACAUGUAGUCCCCCGGGGGACGCUUCGCCGAGCACUUCACCUGUCAUCGAGACCCACUUCAUCACAGCCAGCGCAGUGAGGGACAUGGAUGUUUGCAGCGUGAAUGGACACGUCACAGCGCCGAGAAAUCACAGAAAAUCCUCUUAGCAGAGACACUGAUGGGGUUUUAACCAUUUCCACUAGAGCUCCAUUCAGCCCCCUUUUGUUUUUUAUUUUAAAUUCUUUUCUUUUUCUAGAGCCUUUGUGACCUCCACCGUGUUGAGUCGAAUGCCUUCUUUUGCCCCCCACCCCCACCGCCAACCCCCACGUCCACACUCCUGUAAGGAAAGGACUCAUUUCAGUCACAAGGGGGGGAGUUGAAACGACAAGCUGGGUGCAGAGGACAGACACCAGCUCUCCUGCCGUCUCUGAACAUGGCAGCACACGCUCCAACUCUUCCCCCACGCUUUUCUGCUUGUCCCAAAAAAAUGCUGAGUAGCUGGAGGCUUAGGAUGCUCUGACGGUUCGUACGUUGCCAAAAGUCACCGCAGGGAAGAGGAGGAGGGAGGGGAAAAUCUCCAUAAAAAGGUUUGGAUUCCUUUUUCUCAAUCCUCAACUGGGUUUUGACUCAAAUCUCUUUUACAGUCUUGAACAAAAGGGAGGCAUUUCUUCUCUCUCUCUUUUUUCCCUCUCCUUUCUUUUUUCUUUUGCUUGGUUUGGAGGCACACAGGCCUGUGUUUGUGGGAUAAACUGAUCUGCUCGAUGCUGAUGGAGGAGUAGCCUGCAAUCAGUCGUUCGUGGAAACUACUGCCUGCCCGCCCGCCUGCCUGCCUCCACCCUUUUCUUUGUUUCAGGCUCUACAUUGCACUAUAUUAGUGCAGCAUGAUAUGCACAUGUGACUUCUACCUUCUAUUGCCAUAAAACACUGCCUCUUCCACAGACACAACCACAGGAACAGCAAAGUCGAGGACUUUCAGAGGAGAACGACGGCAACAGGAAACAGAUGUUCAGAUGUGUCGCGUCCGUACAGGACAGGCGUGAAUCUCCAGUAAAUAUAUGUAUAGAUUUUAUUUCUCACAACUGAUUUUUUUUUUUUUUUUUUUGGGUUGUAGUAAAGUAACAUUUUGUGGUUUGUAGAUCUCGUCUGGUGUGAUCACAUUUUCAGCCCAGAUGCAAUUAAAGAGUUCACCACGAUAUCAGCAGGUGACUUUAACGCAUCGCCCGCUUUAAAGGUCAUUUGGACCACAAAGAAAAAUCAGACAUUUUGAAGUGAUUAAAGACAAAGAAAGACCAAGAAAUUUAAACUGUUUAAACUGUUCACGUCAUGCAAACAUCAUUCCUGCCUUACUGAUGACAACUAAGUACUAACAGUCCUGUAAUACAGCUCUUAAUACUUGAAUGGGGCGUACAUUAUACACUAUAUGUAGACAUGAAGAAGAUAACAUUUCCUUCUCUUUUGAGGUCACUUAGCAAGUACACGUCGACUUUUUAAACGUUCUCAUGUAGUAAUCCGUAUCAUAUUUGCUCUGUUGUUUUUCACUCACGCUCCAUGAGGUGAGAUGUACUUAGAAAAGAAAAAAAACAGUCUGUACAAACAAAGAUUAUACAACAUGUUAAUAAUACGACAAGACGCUUCUGCUGAGUUCAACGUAAAAGCAAACUGGUGUGGAGAAUGUUUACCUUUUUGUUGUGGGAUUUGUAAAUAACAGCGAUUUUUUUAUUUUUUGGAGAAAAAAAAAUAUCAGAAGUAUGUGUACAUUUAUUUUGUAUCGCACAGAAAAUGUUUAGUUUGAAUAUUGCAAAGUGGGUGUGUGAUAUUGCUGAUUGUUGUUAUCAUGAUGCAAGUUGUAUGUUGUAAACAAAAAGAAAAAAGAAAGCAGAAAAAGACGAGACGGCGCGGCCGUUUUCCACAGGUUGUUCAUGUAUACGGGACGAAUUACUGAAAAUAAAUAAGGACACGGUUGUAAACACACAAA